GAUAAGAAACGAGCAGAGCCGCUUCCGCGUCAGCCGCAUCCCACUCCGGCUCCUACUCAGGCCGCCACCGCCAUAGAGCGGACAGAAAGAGAAACUGCAGCAGCAGGCUGCGGCCCCGGCGUCGUCCGGCGCAGGCCCAGAGAAUAGGAGACCUUGUAAAGAGAGAGAGAGACCAUGCAGAGCGGAAACAAUGGACCCAGGUUGACAACCAGCACCAAAGCCCAGAUGGAGGAGCAAGACCAUUUUGGACCCUCCAGCCCUAGUUGAGGGCCUCAGACAGUAUCAUGUGGAGUGGAGAAGAGCCACCUCAACUGGUUUUUGCUGGAAUUUCUAACCCACAGAGUCGUAAGCAAUAAAAUUGUUGUUGUUUUAAGCCACCAAA